ensembl:rRNA 5S_rRNA 5S ribosomal RNA
UGUUACGGCCACACCAUCCUGAACACACCCGAUCUCAUCUGAUCUUAGAAGCUGAGGAGACUUGGGCCUGGAGGAAGCAACAU